CCCUGGUCCCUUCCAGGGUGAGUUGUCCUAAGUGACCAUGGAGAAUCAACCGCCCAGAUUCAGUGCCCUGCCAGAAUGUGGUUGACAGUAACAAAAGAUCCAUAGCCUUUCUGAUGACACCCAGCACCUCGGAUUCCAUAUACACCGGAGUUGAUUUAAGCAUCUUACUGCCUGAAAUCUGGGGUCCUUUAUUCUGGCAGGUAAGACCCUUUUGUGUUUCCUGAGACUGGCUUCGAAGACACCCCCCCCCCUGCUGAGGCC